AUGUCGCACUCGAUGACGGGGCCGUACUCCUCGAACUUGGCGCGCAGCUCCAGGUUGGUNCCCGGUCGCCCCUCCCGGUGCGGCCCCGCCCCCACCUGCGCCGUCCGCCGCUCUGUCCUCGCAAAAUGGCGGCGGCGAUGCUCAGCCACUCGGGGCCCCGCCCUCCGGCCCCUACUGGUCGGUGCGGCUGUCCGUCAAGCGCGGCACCGCCCCCCCGGGGGAGUUGAGCCCGCCCUUGGCGCCCCCGCAGCCAAUCAGAGGAAGGGGCGGUGCGCGCGGAGCGGCCCAUUGAUGGGUCACGGGGGGAUCCGGGGUGGCCCAUUCAUGGUUCAUGGGUGGAUCCGGAGUCCGCCGCUAAUUGGGGGAUCUCGGGUGACCCAUUCGCAGUCCCGUCCCCGUCCCAUUUCCCUCCGUUCCCUGUCCCGCCCCAUCUCCUUCCCAUCUCCAUCGCUGUCCCCAUCCCGUCCCAUUCCUGUCCCACCCCAGUCUCCAUUCUUGUCCCAUCUCCAUCCUUGUCCCCACCUCCAUCCUUAUCUUCCUUCCUUCCCUGUCCCGUCCCAUCCCAUCUCCAUCCCAACCCCCACCCCACGCCAUCUACAUCCGUCCCACCUCCAUGCCAUCCCUUCCCUCCCCACAUCUCUUUCCCUUACCCAUCCCCUUCCCUGUCCCACCACCUUCCCUCCCUCACCCUAUGAAAGGGAGAUUCCAUCUCACCCCUCUCUUACCCCAUUCCUUCUCUCUUCCAUCCCCAUCCCCUUCCUGUCCCAUCUCUAUCCUGUCCCAUCCCAUCCCUGUCCCCAUCUCUGUCCUGUCUCCAUUUGCAUCCCUGUCCCCAUCCCUGUCCCAUCUCUAUCCUGUCCUAUCCCAUCCACGUUCCCAUCUUUAUCCUGUCUCCAUUUCCAUCCCUAUCCCCAUUCCUGUUCGAUCUCUAUCUCCGUCCCUAUCUCUAUCAUGUCCCAUCCCUGUCCCCAUCUCUGUCCCAUCUCUAUCCUAUCCCAUCCCAUCCCUGUCCCCACUCUAUCCCUAUCCCCACCCCAUCCCAGACCCCAUCACUGUCCCAUCUGUAUCCCUGUCCUAUCCCAUCCCUGUCCCAACUCUAUCCCUGUCCCCAUCCCCAUCCCAUCCCAGUCCCCAUCCCUGUCCCAUCCAUCUCUGUCCCCCUCCCCCCCCCGCAGUCACACUCCAGCCGCUCUCUACAGCCGCUUUAUUUGGGGUACAGCGCGACAUCAUGGGGCCACGGGGACAUCACCGGGACCCCUGGCAUGGGGCAGAAAGGCACAGCGGCUCCGGGGGGGGAGCAACCCCGCACUGCCCCGGCCGUGUCCCUCCAUCAGCUCCGUGGGACCCCUCGUUUUUAUUACCCCCCCCCAUAUUUUUUGUGCCCCCCCCAGCCCCCUCCCCUAUUUGUUCUUCUUGAAGAAGCUGAAGCGUUUCUCUCGCUCCUUCUCCUUCCCCUCGCGGGAUCGCAGCGGCGGGGGGCCCUCGCCGUGGGGGGGGGGCACGGGGGGCAUGCUCAUCGCCCUCGUCAUCCCCUUGCCCCCCCCGGGCACCGAUCCCACCGCUGGCGGUCCCUCCCGCGGCCCCCCCGGCACCAGGGCGGCCGCUGCGUGGAUGACACGAAGCCACGCACUCAUCUCUGCCUGUGGGGGG
rnacentral:lncRNA from 1 species